rnacentral:lncRNA from 1 species
AAUACUAGAAAAUAGUAACAACCAAUGUCUAUUAUAUCACUUUUCACUAAAAACUUGUCAGAAAAGUAUCACGUGAACAAGCAAUGAUCAAAUAUCAAAUUUUCAUUUUGAUGAAUAAGGAAACUAAAAAAGUUCUAAAAUUAUUUAUUUGUAGUGUUAUACAUGUUGUUUUAAGUAUCAUAAAAUUUUAAGUGAAGAAUACGUAUAAUUUUCGUUAGAUUCAC